GAUGAACGCUGGCGGCGUGCCUAAUACAUGCAAGUCGAGCGAACAGAUAAGGAGCUUGCUCCUUUGACGUUAGCGGCGGACGGGUGAGUAACACGUGGAUAACCUACCUAUAAGACUGUGAUAACUUCGGGAAACCGGAGCUAAUACCGGAUAACAUAUUGAACCGCAUGGUUCAAUAGUGAAAGGCGGCUUUGCUGUCACUUAUGGAUGGAUCCGCGCCGUAUUAGCUAGUUGGUAAGGUAACGGCUUACCAAGGCAGCGAUACGUAGCCGACCUGAGAGGGUGAUCGGCCACACUGGAACUGGGGCACGGUCCAGACUCCUACGGGAGGCAGCAGUAGGGAAUCUUCCGCAAUGGGCGAAAGCCUGACGGAGCAACGCCGCGUGAGUGAUGAAGGUCUUCGGAUCGUAAAACUCUGUUAUCAGGGAAGAACAAAUGUGUAAGUAACUGUGCACAUCUUGACGGUACCUGAUCAGAAAGCCACGGCUAACUACGUGCCAGCCGCCGCCGUAA
rnacentral:rRNA from 1 species